GGCUUGCAGCUGGAUGAUUGAGGGUUACCGUUCUUAGGUUCCUCUCGUAUUUAAUACUUCAAGGAACCGGGGGGUAGUUGUUGUGCCAUAAAAUCUCCCUGGGCUUAUUUUAUAGCCCAUCAUAUUAUUUGGGCUUCACUUGGGCUUAUUGGAAUCAUUUGGUUAAGAAUAAUGGGCUUCGCCAUGGCUGGGUGGAUCAUUGAAGGUGUACAAGAAGGUGUAUGGACUUGCAUUGGAGGC
rnacentral:lncRNA from 1 species